rnacentral:rRNA from 1 species
CGUGCACGCUGGCGGUAGGCCUAACACAUGCAAGUCGAACGGCAGCACAGUAAGAGCUUGCUCUUACGGGUGGCGAGUGGCGGACGGGUGAGGAAUACAUCGGAAUCUACUUUUUCGUGGGGGAUAACGUAGGGAAACUUACGCUAAUACCGCAUACGACCUACGGGUGAAAGCAGGGGAUCUUCGGACCUUGCGCGAUUGAAUGAGCCGAUGUCGGAUUAGCUAGUUGGCGGGGUAAAGGCCCACCAAGGCGACGAUCCGUAGCUGGUCUGAGAGGAUGAUCAGCCACACUGGAACUGAGACACGGUCCAGACUCCUACGGGAGGCAGCAGUGGGGAAUAUUGGACAAUGGGCGCAAGCCUGAUCCAGCCAUACCGCGUGGGUGAAGAAGGCCUUCGGGUUGUAAAGCCCUUUUGUUGUGAAAGAAAAGCAGCAGGUUAAUACCCCGCUGUUCUGACGGUACCCAAAGAAUAAGCACCGGCUAACUUCGUG